CCCACCAAAAAGUAUUAAUUGAAAUAAAACACACACACACACACACACACACACACACACACACACCGCAACACCAUGAGGUGGGUGAAACUUUUAUUUCAGCAUGGAAAAGAAAACAUUUUUCUUCAGGAGGUUCAUGUCAUUGCGGAGGUGCGAAAUCUUUGGCCCACCAAAUGUUGCUGACCUACAACUCCCAUCAGACCCAGCAAACAUGGCUGAUGGCCCGGCCUGCUUCUUGGGGUUUCAAGGGAACCUCUCACAAAUUUAAUAAUGAAAAAUUCAAUUUCGUUAAAGGAGUACAAAUGGACGAGCCACACAAUAAGUUCAUUUGUGGGUGAUGCUUGCACUUAGGCUGACUCCAGCGUCCUCCGGCCUUGGGUGCCCAAAUGUUGUUGGACUACAACUCCCAUCACCCCCUGCUAUCUUAGCCAAUGAUGAGGGAUGAUGGGAGUUGUAGUCCAACAACAAGGUUGAAGAAGAUUCUACAGAUUUGAGCAGCUCGCAGCUGGAAACUCUUAAUUUAGUUGCUACAUGUGAUUUUGGGGGCAGGAGGGGAUUACAUUAAAAAAAUAUGAAAAGUUUUAUGCAUUAACAUGCCCAACUGAACAUAUAAUAAUAAUAAUCUGAAUUUAAAACAUGCCAAAAAAACAUACCAAAAGCUUUGUAAUGGUUAUCCCCCGCAAACUGGAAAUUGCUGAAAAAUGGGAGUUGAGUUCAGCAACUUCUGGAGAGUGUGAGGUUUGAGAAAUCUGCCUUAAGUCUGUUCUACUCUAGAUCAUGAUUUCAAAUUCCCAGUGACUAUGAGAUUUAGGAACAUGAUUUUUGUGCCACGUGGCAAAGGGGGAUAUUGCUGCAGGGCGAAACCAGCGGGUUCAAUCUGCUCUGUUGCACAUACCUUGGUGAGACUUGAGAACAGAUGAGAGAGGAUAGCACAGGGCCCUCCAGCAUAGCUGUCAACUUACAGAUUUGAAAAUAAGGGACCAGUGGUCUCGAAAAUAAGGGAUCAGCAGCCAAAAUAAGGGAUUUUAGUCAACCAGCAGCCAAACGAAGCCUCAAGUGGUGGUUCCCACAGCGCAGCAACCCGGCAAAGGGGAUGCAGCAAGGAAAACCACCGUCACCUCUCUGCUGGGAAGCGCUGAGCAAAGGCGAGUCCCCAGGCAACGCGGCCGAUUUGAGUGGCACAAGGCAUGCAAGCUCCACCCCCCAGUCGUUCUUAGACUCCUUAUUGGGUGAGCAAUGCAGUCAAGCAACACAGCUGGAGCCUCCCUCCUCCCUGGCCGGCAGGGAGGGAGGGAGAGGAGCUGCUUCCUUUGAAACCUGGGGAAUUUAAGGGACAUCAUCAAUAAGGGACAGCAGCGGGACAUGGCGCUGGGAUAAAGGACUGUCCCGCCAAAUAAGGGACGCUUGACAGCUAUGCCCUCCAGGUGUUGCUGAACUACAACUCCCAGAAAGCAAUGGUGGGAGUUGUGGUUCAGCAACAUGGGGAGGGCACCAAAG